rnacentral:lncRNA from 1 species
CUUUUGGGCACAAGGCAGGGCCCAGAGGGGUGCGUGGGGGCCGCAGCCCAGCCCCCAAGCCCCGCCAGCGGCUUUACUGGGGUGUAACAAACACACGAUAAACUGCGCAUAUUCCAGUGUUCAUGUGGAUGAGUUUGGACAUAUGCACACACUUCCGAAACCACCAGCACAAUCAAGACAGCAGACAUAUCCAUCGCCCCCAAGGGUGUCCUUGUGUCUUUUUGUCAUUCAUCCCUCCCGGCCGCCCCAUCCACACUCCCAUCGCCUGCCGACUGUGGCUGAUCUGCUUUCUGCGGCUGUGGAUUAGUUUGCGUUCUCUACAAUUUUCUGAAGCACCAGUUAGCCCAGAUGCUUCUCAUCUUUGGAGUUGAGCUGCAGGCUGGAGACCUGGAAGGCCCUCGCAGCGCCUGCUCCCAUCCUCUCACCUCACGAAAGCGCAGGAAUGUGGGUUUGGAGCCAAUGAAAAGUACUGGAAUCUGGCUCUGCUCUGUGACCCUGGACAAGUCACUGCCCCUCUCUGGGCUUCAGUUUCCUCCUUGGUAACACAGAAUGAUUAUACCUACCCCUUGGGUUUGUUGACCUGAAUCUACCCCUCAGUCAUUGCCUUUCCUUCUUGCUGCAGCCACACUGGCCCCUUGACAGUUCCUUGAACACAACAAGCCCUUUCCCACCUCAGGGCCUUUGCAUGUGCAGUGCCAGAUGCCUGGAAUGUCCUUCCUUCCAAUCUCCCCAUGGCCGGCUCAUUCUCAUCUUUCUUGGCUCAAAUGUUACCUCCCCAACCUAGACAGCACCGCUGCCACCUCUUCACCCCGUCUUACUCUUCUUCAAGCACUUCUGGAGGUAUCUUGCUAUUUAUCUUGUUUAUAUCUUUUUCAGCUCCAUGAGGGCAGGGGAUUUUGUCUGUUUCAUUCACAAUGUGUUCCCAGAGCUCAGCACAGUGUCAGGCACACACUAGGUGAGUAAGAAACAAUUGCUUCCUCUACCUCUUCCCCUGCUAGCCCCAAGUUCAGCUAACUGGCUGUGUGACCCUGGGGAUUGCUUUUCACCUCUCUGGUCCCUUAUUCUCCCUUGUGGACAAAGGAUGGCCUGGGCAUGAGUUUCUUCAAGGACUCGGGUAGCAGUGAAAUCCCUGGGACCCUAGCCUCAGUACCUCCCCAGGCAAUGGGGUAGAGAGCAAGAAGGCAGGUGAGCAAGGACCAGCCUCCGCCACGCAGACACCCUCUUUCCGGCUUCUCUGUCCUCCUACUUUGCCCUGGGUUUGUGGACUUACUCUGGGCAGAUCUCCACGACCAACCACCCCCUCCCUUGGCAUGUCUGUCAGCACCCUUGGGGGAAAGAAUUUGGAAAGGGGAGGGAGAAAAAGAAAGCAGGGUGCGAGGGGCUGGUUCCCACACCUGUGUAAAUAAUUUGUCAUCUUAAAAUGCUCAAGUAUGCUCACCUUUAAUGCCUGGUUCUUGGGCUUAUUUUCCUUGGCAAGGCCCCCACGGGAGUGGAAUUUCGGCCAAAGGGAGCCCAGUUGUCAUCUUCUAAACAUGUUCCCAGGCCGGGGGCCGGGGAGGGCUCUGGCUGAUGCUCCACUUCCGUCCCCAGAAGUGCUGGAACGUUCCUGGGAUCUAGGGAGCUGACUCCAGUCCUGGAAGCUGUCCCAGAAUUCUGGAAUGUUGGAAUUCAAACGGCCUCCUGCCCAUUUUCCGGAGGAGGAACAUAAGACCCAGAGAGGGGAAGGGGUUGGCCUGAGGUCAUACAAUGUGCAGAGACGAGCUAGAGUUUGCUGGGAGAAGGUGCGGGUGUGUGGACAAGUCAGCAUCUAUCUCCCAUUUUCAGGUAACAGCACCUCGACUUCCUACUGAAGAACCCCCUCUUCCCUUUUCUCAGUCCAUGAGGCUGGGGGUGCCCAGAGGCCUCUGUCUCCAGGGGUGGACAUGUGACCGGGUCUUGCUCUAGUGAUUGGUCCAGGGAUGGGCACAUGACUGAGCCUGCCCAAUGAAACUUGAUCUUGGGACUUCAGGGUUGGCCAUGAUUUGUGAAGGAGAUGCCAUUUUCCAUUGGAUGGACAGUGAGCAAGUGAACGCUUAGAGAAGAAGAGGACAAAACAAGGGAAAAGCCUGCCUGACAGGAAGCAGCACAGAGCUGGACAGGCUUUGAACUCCUGGAUCCCACUGUACCUGAAAUUAGGCACCUUCAACUUUCUAGUUAUGUGAGCCACUGUCUUUCCCAUUUUUGGCUGAAAACAGUUGGGACUGGCUUUCUGUCCCUUGCAUACAGAAGGUGCUGACUGACCCCUGCCCCAUGGAAGAAGAUACUCCAGGCAGAGGAAAUAGUGUGUAUAGACACCCCUAAGCGAAUGCCAAGCGGGGCACUCAUGUACCAAGAAGAAGGAGGAGGAGGCACCUGGGAGCUGAGCUUAAGAGUUAGUCGGGUGGUCAAGGUGGGAGAAGGGGGUAUCUUUAGCAGAGGGAACAACCAUUGCAAAAGCUUGGAGGGGUGACUAGUUAGUGAAGAUCAACUGUGUGCUGAGCUCGUGUUGGGUGGCAAGGGACACAGACGAAAAGGGCACGGUGGAACCCAGCUACUUCUCACCUGCUCCAGCGCAGUGCAGGCUUGUCUGCUUUUGGAGCCGAGCCUGGACACCUCCGUGUCCUUCCCCCGGCAGAGUGCUGCCAGCACGCUGUCUCAGACUCUCCAGCAUCUCCUGGUUGAUGUGCAUCAUGGGGACCACACAAGAUUAUUUUAUAGGCUGCACAGGCAAAGCAUAAAAUCACCUCGGGUCACAUAGCGAGAGUUAUUCUCUCUGCAAAUUCUUUACAGUCUUUCCUUUAUAUCCAGAAGAGUCUCUGUGUGGUGCUAACUUGCCUCGAAGACCAAAUAAUUGCUAGUCUCCCUUUGUGAAAAGGAGAGCAGGUGUCAGGCUCAUUCAUGUCUCAGGCACACAAUUGUAUCUAGCUAGACUUUUCAAAAUGUCCUAUAGAGCUGCAGCACAUAUGAAUGAGGUGUCCAGCUGGUCCCAAACCUGUAAUCGGCACCCCAGUGAGCAGACUGGACAUCCCCACCCCCACAGCUGCCCUUUCUCCCCUCCACUCAUGUUCCCUCUAGGGCCACCACGAUCCCGACUUGUAUCACCACAGAUGAGUUUCACAUGUUUUUGAAUUUUACAUCUUAUCUGUUUUCUGUUCCUAUACAAGUUUGCCUUUUUUGAAUUCCAUAUAAGUGGGAUUCUACAAUGUGUUAUCUCAAUUUGAGUCUGUUUUUUUUUUCCUGCUCAGCAUGAUGUUUUUGAGAUGCAUAUAUGCGG